AAUGAACGCUGGCGGCGCGCCUAAUACAUGCAAGUCGAGCGAGAAGACGUAGCAAUACGUUUGUAAAGCGGCGAACGGGUGAGGAAUACAUGGGUAACCUACCCUAGAGUGGGGAAUAACUAGCCGAAAGGUUAGCUAAUACCGCGUACGCUCCUUGGACUUCGGUUCAGGGAGGAAAGCGAUGCCGAGGGUAUCGCGCUCUUGGAUGGGCUCAUGUCCUAUCAGCUUGUUGGUGAGGUAACGGCUCACCAAGGCUUCGACGGGUAGCUGGUCUGAGAGGACGAUCAGCCACACUGGCACUGCGACACGGGCCAGACUCCUACGGGAGGCAGCAGUAAGGAAUAUUGCGCAAUGGGCGAAAGCCUGACGCAGCGACG
rnacentral:rRNA from 1 species